UAUUAUUUCUUGUUUGUUAUUUGUUGUUGUUAUUGUUGGUUGUCGUUGUUAUCGUCGUCAUCGUUGUCGUCGUCGUCGUCGAUCCUCGUCGUCGAUCGUCGUCGUCGUUGUUGUUGAUGUUGACCGUGGAUGGUGGAUGGUGGUGUACCGUAUUUCAUCACCGUUAAUAUGUUUCAUUAGGUGCACUAACCUCAUUCGUGAUGAAAAAAGGUGUCUAGAGCUUGUAAAAUCAUCGAUAUAAAGUAAUAAUAAUAAUUAUUAUUAUUAAUAAUAAUAAUAAUAAUAAUAAUAAUAAUAAUAAUAAUAGCAAUAAUAAUAAUAAUAAUAGUGUGGUAUGCGUUGUAUUCUACGUCGAACCUCGUCAUCCUAGAAGUAUAUCUCUGUGUGAAAUAACGAGGAAGGAAGGAAGAGACGAAGAAAGCAAUUUUCCGAGGAGGAUAAAAAACGAGAGACAGAGAAAGAAGAGAGACAGAGUGCAAGAGGAAGAGUGAGAACGAGCAAGGGAGUGGAAACAAGAGAGAGGUCGACGGAGGAUAAAGGAUGCCAGUCCGUAAGCAAGGUGAGUCCGAGUACUUUACAACCCCGUACGAGACAGAAAGCUUUCUAAUGGGAUUCACGCAACGUGGUACAAGAAAGAGCGAAGAUCGAGUUGGUAGGCGCUUUGAAAAAGGAAAAAAAAGAAAAAAAUAAAAUAAAAAAAAAGGGGAAAAAAAAGAAAAAAGAAGAAUUCAAAGUCCAACGUGAAACUCCUGUAUUUGACGUCGAUUGAAUAUAUCGUUAAAUAAAAUUAAAAUAAAAAAACAAAAAGGGAAAGAAAAAAGAAAAAAGAGAGAGAGAGAGAGAGAGAGAGGGAAAAAAAAAAUAUAUAUAUAUAUAUAUAUAUAUAUUGGUGCUUAACCCAAUGGUACGAAACAUACCCCCAGAGAUAUGUAUUGAAUCGAAUACGAUCUGGAAUAUAUAAUUGACGAUCGCCAAUGACUCCAAAGACUAGAAUCAUAAAAUUCAUUAUGAAUAUAUAUCGAUAAAUGAAUAUUACACGAAAAUACAUGUCGUCGUUGUACAUUAUUAAAUAAGAAAAUCAACUUUACCAAGUCUUUGCAAGCUCGUAGAUUUUUUUUGCGAUAUGAAAGAAGAGAGGCAGAAACAGAGAGAGAGAGAGAGAGAGAGAGAGAGAGAGAGAGAGAAUUAAUCUAACAAAGUGAUCGAAAAGAAACGAUUGAUUUUUUUUAAAAAGCAUCUAAAAACUUUCGGCCCUAUUUAGGAUCUAGAGACGUGUGUACGAUCGAAAAAAAGAAAAAAAAAAAAGAAUUGAAAUGAAAUCAUGACACUCAAGUAUCAUAUACCAAGAUAGAUAAGUAAAUACUUGCAUGAGAUUGAAGAAAAUAUCAACGAAAGAUAAAAAAAAAAAAAAAAAAAAAAAGAAAAAACAAAAAAAGAAUGAAAGAAUUAACGAAAUCAAAUGAGACUAAUAAAUAUUUAAAAAUCAAUCAGUAAAAUAUUAAAAUCAAACUUUUAUAUUAUAUAUUUCGAACAAAUUAUUAACAAUAUCCAAAAAUUGUUGAAAUAUUUGCAUUUUAACGCAUACCUUAUGUAUUUAUGUAUGUACACGUACGUCAUUCUUUUUAUCAUGUCUUUUUUCUUUUUUUCUUUUUAUUUUUCUUUUUUUUUUGAUUUUUUUCUUUUCUCCUUUUUUGUUUUUUUUUUUUUCUUCUUUUUCACCUAAUAAUCCCAUAUCGUUCCUCACGUCUUCGAUGUAUUUCACGAUCGAUAGCAAUUUUUCUCUCGACUUUAACGUUCCUCGAUCAAAAUCGAUAUGUUCAAGGAGUUCUUAUAUCUCUGAGAACAUCGAACGCGUUCAUGUUAUAUCCAGCUAUCGUAAACGUCCAGGAUAGAUCGACACAUACAUACAUAUAUACACAUAUAUAUAUAUAUAUAUAUAUAUAUAUAUAUAUAUAUACGUGUGUACCUUUUCAUUUUUCUUUUUCCUUUUUUUCUUUUUUCUUUCUUUCCCUUGAAUUAUAUGCAGUAACCGUCAUCGUUAAGACGAAUACGAAUGAUAACAAGUAGGUCAGACAGAUUUAGAUUAUAUACCGAACAAUGAACAAUUUUACUAUCCAAAAGAAAUAUAUGCGGCCAUAAUUAUGAAAAUGAUUACUGGACUAAGUCAUACAUUUUGUUCUUUCGAGAUAUCUAAUGGAUUAUUAUUUGAAUAAAUAAUAAAAAAAUUCUUAUAUUAUUAUGUCACAUUUUAAUUUAGAAUUUUAUUAUAUUUAAUUUUGAUUAAUGAAAAUUCCUUUAUGAAUGUGAAAGUUUCGUUUGAAUUACAUAUAAAAAGAUUGUUUUUAAAGUAUUAAUUGACUUAGAUCAUUUUCAUAAUUAUAGACACACACAUAUAUAUAUAUAUAUAUGAUCGAGUCACGUUUUUAAAGA